AAAAGGUAAGGUUAAAAAAUCAGUCAACCUGCACAAAAUGAUCGGGCUAUCAUCUGGAUAAUAUACAUACUCUUACUGUACUAAAUUCGCGUUCACUUCACUAAAUUCCACAAAAGUUAUAAAGACAGCUUAUUAAAAUCAAAGUUUCUACAUGUUUUCGAUCUAUGACAUAGCAUUAUCUAAUGGUUUACUCAUUUUGGCAACCGCAUCUUGCAUCUAUCAUACGCAGAAAAAAUUAUCGACUACCAUUCUUAACUUUGAACCAGACUUAACAGCUGCUACAGUAGGAGUAUUAGCGAUAAAUUUCAGAUCUAUAUUUAAUUUCUUAUCACCUUUGAUUUUAUGUGCUUCCCGUUCCAUCAAUCGAACAGAGACAUCAGCUCGUGAAGAUGAAGACAAAGCGGUACUACGAAUUGGACCUCUGCACGAAAAGCUCUGUCGAGUCAUUAGCAUGUCAGGAUUAAUUUACGCCGUCUGCGAAUCGCAUGAGAAUCGCAAAACGGGUAUAUUUAUAGUAUCAUUACUAUCAGCACUUGAAUUGCGCCAUGCUUUGUGCGGAGGUUAUCCUAGAUAUCAAGAAAACAAAUGGUAUCAUUUUUUGUGGAUACUGGCCGGAGGAUCAUUCGGAUGGAUCAAAGGCAACAAAUACUGUUUCUGGGCUUAUUUGCCUUACCUGAUCUCUUUUCUGUUAUUGGCACCGGAAAAAGACUUGGCCUGGUCUGUAAGGCGAGUAGUCAACAAUUACAUGAUGAUGGCUCACGUGUUUUUAAUGCUGGAAGCAGUCCGAGAAGGUCGUAGUCUCCAAGCUUGACUCGAAAGAUCUUUCUGUACGCUUACUAUAGACUACCUUCAUAAGAAGAAAAAAAGUGAUGCAGCUUGAUCAAGAAGUUUUUUCUUCUAUAAGCAGUUCACCCGGAUUCGCUCUUUGCUGUCUUUAGAAUUGUCAGCAUUUCAAAAGCAAACAUAAAUUCAUCUUAUGCUCACAGGUUUGAGUUCGGUUCGCGCCAGGCGAUCUGAUGGUUCUCCAGUGGCCGCAACCUCAGACUGUUUUGGGGACUCUCGUCGGCCUCGUAACCGGCAUUGGUGUGUGCUCCGUGAUUCUCGAACACGUCCUUCACCGAUAUCUGACUGCUUCUCGUGGGUCGAGGUUGGAUGCCCAGAGGGUUACCGGCGACCCCGUAAAUAUUGUUCGCACCUAGGGUCUGCAUCUGGGACUUGCGGCGCUGCGCUGCCAUUAUGCUGUUGCGACGACCUUCGAAAGCUUUGAAAGCUUUCGUCGAGCGACGAGUUGACAUGUUGCGUGGAAGGCCUGUAAUGAGUUAUGAAAGUGUUUGCAUUCGUUGAUAUAUUUCAUUGAAAAACUAUGAGUUGACAUCUUCUAAAAGCUGGAUGAUUUGUACAUAAUUAUUCCAUACUGAAGAAACGUUGACGGAAAGCGACGUCGAGCGUGUUGAUCGCCUGCGUUUUCUUUCUGCUCUUCUCCAGGUUUCGAAUCGUCUUUCGUCUACCAGGACCACUUCCACUACCCUCGUCAUAGUCGCCCUCCAUACCGUCUAGCCUCUGCAAAUCCCUCACUAUAUCCACCGCAUGUUUUGUUAACAACGCGUCCUCUGACAAGUCGUUUGUGGGCUGAAAAUAUGUACCUUCUUGAAACAGUUAAGAGCGGUACUGGCCAAGAUGUGGGACAACGUUCCGAAGCGAUGGAACAACAUGGCACUGAACUGUAUCAAGAGAAUCAGAGCGAAGAAGAACACGAACACGAGACCGAUUGGCUCGAGUUGCAAGUACUCCUUGGAAAUGUGCACCUAGAAUGGAAAAGAGAAAUUGUCAGGUCCAGCAUGCUCAAAUUUCUUGGUUCCCGGUUUUAGUGUAACGUUACUGCGUCCAAUCGAAGUAUCGCACUUUUUUACAUUCGCGAGACGCGCAGUUUGUAUAUUACUGCUGUACAGAUAUAUAUUCUGUUAGGUGUAAGCGUUUUUAAGCUCUAGUGUAUGGAGGUACGAUAUUUCGAUCGGAUUUUAGCUAUCUCUAAUUGUUUAUUAUUGAUUUAUUAGUUCGCGAGGAAUCCUUGCCGUCGUCAACUUUUUAUGCCUUUUUUGCACACAACAAGUGUACAAGUCUCUUUAUUUGAAAAUUUUGAGCAUGAUAUCAGUUUUUAAUAAUUUUGAAUAUAAAUUGAAAAAAGUUCGGAUGGUUCAGAAGCGCUUAACGUAUUAAAAUCUCAAUAGCCAAUAAUAAAAAAUCGAAAUUCAAUCAAUUAAGAAAAAUCUCGUGACAAGGACAAGGAGCUCACGAUUAGCCUAAUAUAUAUGGUGCUGUGUUAAAACACAUAUACAUAAUAUUUACAAACGAAGACACCUGUAAGCCCACCACAAAAGGGUGUUGUUAAAUAUAGAUAUUACACUUAUGGAUAUAAAUAUUUAUAAAUAAAAACAAUCAUCAAGUUA